AACGAACGCUGGCGGCAGGCCUAACACAUGCAAGUCGAGCGAACCCUUCGGGGUUAGCGGCGGACGGGUUAGUAACGCGUGGGAAUAUACCCUUUGGUACGGAAUAGCCUCGGGAAACUGAGAGUAAUACCGUAUGUGCCCUUGGGGGAAAGAUUUAUCGCCAAAGGAUUAGCCCGCGUUGGAUUAGAUAGUUGGUGGGGUAAUGGCCUACCAAGUCUACGAUCCAUAGCUGGUUUGAGAGGAUGAUCAGCAACACUGGGACUGAGACACGGCCCCAGACUCCUACGGGAGGCAGCAGUGGGGAAUCUUAGACAAUGGGCGCAAGCCUGAUCUAGCCAUGCCGCGUGGAC
rnacentral:rRNA from 1 species